UGGGGAAUAUUGGGCAAUGGGCGCAAGCCUGACCCAGCAACGCCGCGUGAGGGAAGAAGGCUUUCGGGUUGUAAACCUCUGUCCUUGGUGACGAAACAAAUGACGGUAGCCAAGGAGGAAGCCCCGGCUAACUACGUGCCAGCAGCCGCGGUAAUACGUAGGGGGCGAGCGUUGUCCGGAAUUACUGGGCGUAAAGGGUGCGUAGGUGGCCUUUUAAGUUGGAUGUGAAAUACCCGGGCUUAACUUGGGGGGUGCAUCUAAUACUGGAGGGCUAGAGUGCAGGAGAGGAAAGCGGAAUUCCUAGUGUAGCGGUGAAAUGCGUAGAUAUUAGGAGGAACACCAGUGGCGAAGGCGGCUUUCUGGACUGUAACUGACACUGAGGCACGAAAGCGUGGGGAGCAAACAG
rnacentral:rRNA from 1 species